rnacentral:RNase_P_RNA from 2 species
AUACUCAGGUGAUCGCUGUAUUUAUAAUACAGAGGAAAGUCCAUGCUCACACAAACUGUGAUGUUUGUAGUGUUCGUGCUUGACGAAAUCAUAAGUCAAGGUAACCUUAAAGGUUAACGGCAGGAGACAUCCUAAGUCACAUGUAGUGAUACGGAUUUAUCCUUGAAAGUGCCACAGUGACGUAGCCGGUUUGGAAACAUUCCGGGUGGAACGAGGUAAACCCCGCGAGUGAGCAACCCAAAUAAUGGUAGGGGCAUCUUCCAGUAGGGAAACGAACCGAAAGAAGGACAAGUAUACACUUGUAGAUAGAUGAUCACAUCCAUAUGUACGAGAUUGACCAUCGAUUGCAGUACAUUGGUACAGAACAUGGCUUAUCGAG